rnacentral:rRNA from 1 species
CGUACUCAGUUCGGAUUGUAGUCUGCAACUCGACUACAUGAAGCUGGAAUCGCUAGUAAUCGCGAAUCAGAAUGUCGCGGUGAAUACGUUCCCGGGUCUUGUACACACCGCCCGUCACACCAUGGGAGUCAGUAACGCCCGAAGUCAGUGACCCAACCAAGUAAGGAGGGAGCUGCCGAAGGUGGGACCGAUAACUGGGGUGAAGUCGUAACAAGGUAGC